rnacentral:rRNA from 1 species
UAUUAGUGUUGUUGCGGUUAAAACGUCCGUAGUCGAAUUAAAGGCUCGUAACGCGUCUGACGCUAGGAGUUACUGGGGUGACCAUCCCCAAGGGGUAGCUUGUGUAGCCCUGCGGAGAUAUCGCCCCAUGUUACCUUGACGAAAUUGUGGUGUUCAUAGCAAGUACGGAGUACUCUAGGCACAAUAGCAUGGAAUAACAACGCAAGGACUCCGACCCGGAUUGCGCUAGCGCUCGGGAUCGGAGGAAGGAUUAAUAGGAGCAGUCGGGGGCGGUCGUAUUCCAUUGCUAGAGGUGAAAUUCGGUGACCAAUGGAGGACGAACAACAGCGAAAGCAUCCGUCCAGUAUGUUUUCAUUGAUCAGUGGACGAAAGCUAGGGGAGCGAACACGAUUAGGCACCGUGUGUAGUCCUAGCCGUAAACGAUACCGACUAGGGGUUGGUGGACGUUCUUCUCGAUAGCUCCAUCAGCACCUUAUGAGAAAUCACAAGCUUUCGGGUUCCGGGGGGAGUACGGUCGCAAGGCUGAAACUUAAAGGAAUUGGCGGAAGG